UGAGAAUAUUUCCUAGUAACAGCAGAAACAAUGUAUGAGAAAGCUCUCUAAUAAUAUUAGUAAACCACAAAACAGCAGGCGAGCCAGAUUUCUUGGAAAAGGGUUCCAUCCGCCAGUCAGAUUUUGAAUUCAGAGAUCUACCUACCUCCACGAUGAUGGGAUUAAAGGAGUGCAUCACUACACCCUGGUUGUUUUCCAUUUCUUUCCUAAUUCCAGGAAGACAUGAAUAAAAUAAGAAAUUAUGCUAAAAGAACAAUGAAAGGAAACCAGGUGUCAUGCUGCAAGUCUUGAAUCUCAUCACUCCAAGGCAGAGGAAGGUAGAACUCUGUGAGCUGGAAGCAUGACUGAUCUUUAGAUCUUGUCUUGGACUGACAUAGUCUUGGACUGAUCUCCAAGGCUAUGUUCAGAGACUCCUAACUCAACAAAAGUUAUGAAGAGAAAAAUAAAGAAAUAGAUCGAAUUAACUUGGAAUAAAACAAGCAAAUGAAGAAUCAGG